CUUAUCGGUCUCGCGAAUGCAUUCAAUUNGUUUUAUGAUCAUGGCUCAGGACGAACCCUGGCGGUAUGCUAUGCAUGCAAGUCGAACGACGCACGUCGAGGGGGUAACCCCUUGGCGUGACGGAGCGGCGAACGGGUGAGUAACACGUGAGGAACCUGCCCCGAAGACCGGGAUAGCCCGGGGAAACCCGGAUUAAUACCGGAUGAUCUCGUCCUACCGAUGGCGGGACGAGCAAAUGCCUUUACGCUUCGGGAUGGCCUCGCGGCCUAUCAGCUUGUUGGUGAGGUAACGGCUCACCAAGGCUUCGACGGGUAGCUGGUCUGAGAGGACGAUCAGCCACACUGGGACUGAGAUACGGCCCAGACUCCUACGGGAGGCAGCAGCAGGGGAAUAUUGCGCAAUGGGCGAAAGCCUGACGCAGCAACGCCGCGUGGGGGAUGAAGGCCUUCGGGUUGUAAACCCCUUUCAGGAGGGAAGAAGUUGACGGUACCUCCAAAAGAAGCCCCGGCUAACUACGUGCCAGCAGCCGCGGUAAUACGUAGGGGCGAGCGUUGUCCGGAAUCAUUGGGCGUAAAGAGCUCGUAAGCGGCUCAAAGUAAGUCGGGUUGUU
rnacentral:rRNA from 1 species